GCUAUCGUGGUGUAAUGGUCAGCCCACUUGACGCGUCUUCGAGAGGUUCGAGGUUCGAGUCCUGGCGAGGGCA
rnacentral:tRNA from 1 species